GAUCCCUCUGGCAGCCCGUGCCGACUCAGUCGACCUCUGCAUCUGCCUCCCUGGGAGCCCUGGCCAAGCUCGCCCACACUCAGCAGUCAGCAUAGCAGCUAUGCCAUUGAAUGCUUUCGGCAGCAGCCAGGGAAGGCCCAUCAGUACCUGAUGCAGCUUAAGAGUGAUGGAAGCCACACCAAGGGGGCUGGGAUUCCCAGUCACUAGUUCUCAGUCUCCAGGACUGGAGCUGACCACUAUAGUGUCAUUUCUACAAUCCCGUCUGAGGAUGGAGCUGACUAUAUCUGUGGUACAGAUUGUAGCAUUGGUGUG